rnacentral:rRNA from 1 species
AGUGAACGCUGGCGGCAGGCCUAACACAUGCAAGUCGAGCGGCAGCGCGGGGGCAACCCUGGCGGCGAGCGGCGGACGGGUGAGGAAUUCGUCGGAAUCUGCCUCUUUGUGGGGGAUAACGUAGGGAAACUUACGCUAAUACCGCAUACGUCCUACGGGAGAAAGUGGGGGACCGCAAGGUCUCUCGCAGAAAGAUGAUCCGACGACCGAUUAGCUAGUUGGUGGGGUAAAGGCGCACCAAGGCGACGUUCGGUAGCUGGUCUGAGAGGAUGAUGAGCCACACUGGGCGGUGGACUAGACUCUUACUACUAUCAAGGUGAGCAGUGACAUUGUUGCAUCGUGGCAAGUCAGCCAGAUACUGCCCAGCCACGUAUGUGAAGACAUCCCUCGGGUUGUAAAGAACUUUUUUGCGGUAAACAAACCUUGCACCUUAUACGAACGCAGCAUGCCGCUACCGAAAAGAUAGGCACCGGCUAACUUCGUG